GAUGAACGCUGGCGGCGUGCCUAAUACAUGCAAGUCGAGCGAACAGACGAGGAGCUUGCUCCUCUGACGUUAGCGGCGGACGGGUGAGUAACACGUGGAUAACCUACCUAUAAGACUGGGAUAACUUCGGGAAACCGGAGCUAAUACCGGAGAAUAUAUUGAAGCGCAGGGGGGAAUAGUGAGAGACGGUGUUGGUGGCACGUAUAGAGGGAUCCGCGCCGCUUGAGCUAGUUGGUCAGGUAAAGGGUUACCACGGCGAGGCGGCGUAGGCGAGCUCUGAGGCUGGUAGCCCGCCCUGGAGCUGAGACGCGCUCCAUGCUCCUACGAGACGCCCCAGUCGGCAACGGUCCGCAAUGGUCGAAAGCCUUACGCAGCAGCCCCGCGUGAGUUAUGACGGCGCUCCGAUCGUAAAACUCUGUUAUUAGUGAAGAACCACUGUGUAAGUAACUAUACCCGUCUUGACGGUACCUAAUCAGAAAGCACCGGCUAACUACGUG
rnacentral:rRNA from 1 species